CCUACGGGAGGCAGCAGUGAGGAAUAUUGGUCAAUGGACGAGAGUCUGAACCAGCCAAGUAGCGUGAAGGAUGACUGCCCUAUGGGUUGUAAACUUCUUUUAUAUGGGAAUAAAACGUUCCACGUGUGGGAUUUUGUAUGUACCAUAUGAAUAAGGAUCGGCUAACUCCGUGCCAGCAGCCGCGGUAAUACGGAGGAUCCGAGCGUUAUCCGGAUUUAUUGGGUUUGAAGGGAGCGUAGGUGGAUUGUUAAGUCAGUUGUGAAAGUUUGCGGCUAAACCGUAAAAUUGCAGUUGAAACUGGCAGUCUUGAGUACAGUAGAGGUGGGCGGAAUUCGUGGUGUAGCGGUGAAAUGCUUAGAUAUCACGAAGAACUCCGAUUGCGAAGGCAGUUCACUGGACUGCAACUGACACUGAGGCUCGAAAGUGUGGGUAUCAAACAGGAUUAGAUACCCGAGUAGUC
rnacentral:rRNA from 1 species